UGGCACUUACAUUAAUGUGAGAGUACCUUCACAAGAAAGUGGAAAGUAUCGAACAAGGAAAGGAACUAUUGCUAUGAAUGUAUUGGGUGUUUGUUCAACCAAUAUGGAGUUUAUUUAUGUACUCCCGGGUUGGGAAGGCUCUGCCCAUGAUGUACGAGUCCUUCGCAAUGCUCUCUCUAGGCCAAAUGGUUUUAAGGUACCUCGUGGUAAUUACUAUUUGGUUGAUGCGGGAUAUACCAACUGUCAGGGCUUUCUUGCUCCAUAUAGAGGGCAAAGAUAUCACCUUAAAGAAUGGGAGGGCAGACGACCUGAAAGUGCUGAAGAAUAUUUUAAUAUCAAGCAUGCUAGAGCAAGAAAUGUGGUAGAAAGGUACUUUGGUUUACUUAAAGGAAGAUGGAGCAUACUUAGGAGUCCCUCGUUUUUUCCCAUUCGCACCAAAGGGUGCAUUGUUAUCGCUUGUUGUUUACUUCAUAAUUUAAUUAGGAGUGUCAUGGCUACAGAUGAUAUAGAGGAAGGUGAGUUGAGUUAAGAUGACUCUGAUGAUGAUUCCGAUUAUGAACCAGAAUUUAUAACAAGUGUUGAAACUACAGAUCAAUGGACCAAUUUUAGAAACACAUUAGCACAAGGCAUGUUUAAUGGUUGGAGGGCAAGAGUUAGAGAUGGUCAAUAGUUAGGCAUAAAAUAAUGGAGCAAGAGGGAAGCAGAGGUAGAGUUAAAAAUAAGAUAUUCUGGACAUAUGAGGAAGAUAAUGUGCUAAUAAAGUACCCUCUUGAGUUGUCUUGUGAUUCUAUAUGGAAAAGUGAAAGUGGUUUCAAGA